GAGGACAUAGCGAUUUGGUUCCUCACAUUGAGCCGCAGCAUGCAGCCAUUGGCUGGAUAUCCCCUGCCGUGUGCUGUUGUCAUCAGGCGGCGGCUGGCCUUAAAGUGCCAGUCCCUGGAUUUAAUGCCUAUUAUGCCACCUUUAACACUGAAGGAUUGCUGUGUAUCAUUUUACUGCAAGAUGGUUCAAGGCACAUCACUGGAAGCAAACCAGAGAAUAUUUUACUGAUCACUCAAGAAAGCCUCAAGACUCGCUGAGGUUCAAUGAAUAAAGCUGUGCUGCCCUCUAGUGGCAGUAACAUAAAACAUCAA